CACCUAGUAAGCAAUGGAUGCAGCUUGUUGAUAAUCGGCUCGAUGAAGCCUACUUAAUCGGAGUGCAAAAAUUUUUGGAUUAUGCUUUUCAGAAAACGGGAGAAGAAUAUGAAAUACGAUGUCCAUGUGUCAAAUAUUGUAAUACAACUUUAGGAACUCGUAAGAUAGUUGAGACACAUUUGAAAGUAUAUGAAAUAAUUCAAAAUUAUACUUUUUGGUGAUGAAGUAGAAGAAUGUGAGAGUGAAGAUGAAGUAGAAGAACUGUUGAGAGAUUUAUAUCCUAAUCUUGAUGGAAGAACUGUGCCUACUGAUUGUGAUGAUUUACUUGAGGAGGAACCAAAUGUUGAAACAAAAAAAUUUGAUAGGCUAUUGAAAGAUUUCGAACAGUCACUGUAUCAAAAGACUACUGCUAUCAAAGAGAGGAUAUUAAGCAAGAAAAGUUGGAUCAUAUGUGGGCAGCUAUUGAGGUUUUGAAGAUUGAAGCUACAAGUCAAGAUGCAAGUUUGGAAAAUUGGAAGCUUCAAGCUCAUUAUUAUUUUGUUAAGAAUGUUAUGUAAAACUUGAUAUCAUAGUCUAGCUCAGGAUUUAGCUAAGUUUUUUUGUUAAGGUGUCGAGCAAAUACUGAAAUUAACAUCAUGGGAUGUUAAUAUUGCAAUAAAUAACUUUAUUACCUUUUUA